UACGUAGGGUGCAAGCGUUGUCCGGAAUUAUUGGGCGUAAAGAGCUCGUAGGCGGUCUGUCGCGUCUGCUGUGAAAACUCAGGGCUUAACCCUGAGCUUGCAGUGGGUACGGGCAGUCUAGAGUGCGGUAGGGGAGACUGGAAUUCCUGGUGUAGCGGUGAAAUGCGCAGAUAUCAGGAGGAACACCGGUGGCGAAGGCGGGUCUCUGGGCCGUAACUGACGCUGAGGAGCGAAAGCGUGGGGAGCGAACAGG
rnacentral:rRNA from 1 species